UACGUAGGUGGCGAGCGUUGUCCGGAAUUACUGGGUGUAAAGCGCGUGUAGGCGGGCGGCCAAGUCUGUGGUGAAAUCGCUCGGCUUAACUGGGCGGGGUCCAUGGAAACUGGUCACCUGGAGGUCGGUAGAGGCAAGUGGAAUUCCCGGUGUAGUGGUGAAAUGCGUAGAGAUCGGGAGGAACACCAGUGGCGAAGGCGGCUUGCUGGGCCGGACCUGACGCUGAGACGCGAAAGCGUGGGGAGCGAACAGG
rnacentral:rRNA from 1 species